rnacentral:rRNA from 1 species
UACGUAGGGUGCAAGCGUUCAUCGGAAUUACUGGGCGUAAAGCGUGCGCAGGCGGUUAUGUAAGACAGGUGUGAAAUCCCCGGGCUUAACCUGGGAACUGCAUUUGUGACUGCAUAGCUAGAGUACGGUAGAGGGGGAUGGAAUUCCGCGUGUAGCAGUGAAGUGCGUAGAUAUGCGGAGGAACACCGAUGGCGAAGGCAAUCCCCUGGACCUGUACUGACGCUCAUGCACGAAAGCGUGGGGAGCAAACAGG